UAAUUUGUUUUAAAUACAGGCUUCAUAGGAAGUGUUACCGUUAAGUUUAAUCGAUAAUGUACUUCUUCACUGAUGUUAUACAAUAUCCUUAUACAAAUGAAAAAAAAAAAUGUUUACAGCAUCUAAUGCUUUUAUCUUGCAGUGAAACGCAUCUAAGAAGAUGAAUAAAAUCAAGUGAGCCACAGAGAUGGCAUCGUCCAAGAGCACAGGCAUUUCAUCCAGAGGCAGUGAGUGAACUUUGUGUCCUGAAACCAGAAUCAGUUGGGAAGAAUGGAAUCAAGUCUACCUCAUAAAAGGCUUACACAGGUCCCCUUCCAGAUGCUGAUGUCUUGGCUUCUGGUGCAAAACUAAGUCAGCUUAAUCCCAAGCCUUUGCUGCCACACAUACUUGAGGGCAUGUCAAAAGUAGAGUUGUACCUCUUGGCAGUCCACUUUCAUACCAAUGUCCCCCUAUAGCUGCAGGUGUUCCUGCUGUUAAUUUUCCCCCACUACCUGUGCUUGGUUUUGAGUUUGGCUGUAAUUUUAAAAUAUUCCA